AGCUUGGUGUAGUGGUUAGAGCAUUGGACUCUGACUCUGGAGACCAGGGUUCGAAUUCCCACUAGGUUA